rnacentral:rRNA from 1 species
UACGUAGGGGGGCAAGCGUUGUCCGGAAUCAUUGGGCGUAAAGAGCGUGUAGGCGGCUCGGUAAGUCCGCUGUAAAAGUCAAAGGCUCAACCUUUGAAUGUCAGUGGAUACUGCCGGGCUAGAGUCCGGAAGAGGCGAGUGGAACUCCUGGUGUAGCGGUGGAAUGCGCAGAUAUCAGGAAGAACACCAACGGCGAAGGCAGCUCGCUGGGACGGUACUGACGCUGAGACGCGAAAGCGUGGGGAGCGAACAGG